GAACGCUGGCGGCGUGCCUAAUACAUGCAAGUCGAACGAGGAACCCAGUACUUGUACAGGGAAUUCCUAGUGGCGAACGGGUGAGUAACGCGUUGGUGACCUACCCCAAAGAGAGGGACAACAGUCCGAAAGGACUGCUAAUACCUCAUGUGAUCGCGAGAGUUAAAGGUCUUGUGAUUAAAGGAGUAAUCCGCUUUGGGAGGGGCCUGCGUCCCAUCAGCUAGUUGGUAGGGUAAUGGCCUACCAAGGCAAAGACGGGUAGGGGACCUGAGAGGGUGACCCCCCACACUGGUACUGAAACACGGACCAGACACCUACGGGUGGCAGCAGUAGGGAAUAUUGCGCAAUGGGCGAAAGCCUGACGCAGCAACGCCGCGUGCACGAUGAAGGUCUUCGGAUCGUAAAGUGCUUUUAUGAGGGAAGAGAAAGGACUGUACCUCAUGAAUAAGGAUCGGCUAACUACGUGCCAGCAGCCGCGGUAACACGUAGGAUCCAAGCGUUAUCCGGAUUUACUGGGCGUAAAGCGCGUGCAGGUGGUUUGGUAAGUUGGAUGUUAAAUCUCCCGGCUCAACUGGGAGCUGUCGUUCAAAACUGCCAAGCUAGAGGACGGUAGAGGGAGGUGGAAUUCAGGGUGUAGUGGUGAAAUGCGUAGAUAUCCUGAGGAACACCAGUGGCGAAGGCGGCCUCCUGGCCCGCUCCUGACACUAAGACGCGAAAGCUAGGGUAGCGAACGGGAUUAGACACCCCG
rnacentral:rRNA from 1 species